rnacentral:rRNA from 1 species
UGAAUACGAGACGCUAAGGCGUCGAAGUAGUGUAUGUCAUACUUCCAAGAAAAGCUUGCACUGUCAUAAGUAAAAAAUGCCUGUACCAUAACCGACACAGGUGGGUAGGUAGAGUAUACUAAGGGGCGCGAGAUAACUCUCUCUAAGGAACUCGGCAAAAUAACUCCGUAACUUCGGGAGAAGGAGUACCUUAUUCUAUAAGGUUGCAAUAACAAGAUCCAAGCAACUGUUUAUCAAAAACACAGGUCUCCGCUAAGUCGUAAGACGAUGUAUGGGGGCUGACGCCUGCCCAGUGCCAGAAGGUUAAAGAAGUCGGUUAGCAUUAGCGAAGCUGGUAACUGAAGCCCUGGUGAACGGCGGCCGUAACAAUAACGGUCCUAAGGUAGCGAAAUUCCUUGUCGGGUAAGUUCCGACCCGCACGAAAGGCGUAAUGAUUUGGAUACUGUCUCGGAGAGGGGCUCGGUGAAAUAGACUUGUCUGUGAAGAUGCGGACUACCUGCACCAGGACAGAGAGACCCUAUGAAGCCUUACUGUAACUUGAAAUUGAAAUUGGACUUUAUUCGCGCAGUAUAGGUGGGAGGUGUUGAUUAUAAUCUUGCGGGAUUAUUGGAGCCAUCAGUGAGAUACCACUCUUGUAAUGUUAGAUUUCUAACUUUGAAUCAUUAUCUGGUCAAAGGACAGUUUCAGGCGGGCAGUUUGACUGGGGCGGUCGCCUCCCAAACGGUAACGGAGGCGUACAAAGGUUUCCUCUGAACGGGUAGAAAUCGUAUCUAGAGUGUAAAGGCAUAAGGAAGCUUGACUGUGAGACCUACAAGUCGAACAGGGACGAAAGUCGGUCUUAGUGAUCUGACGGUACUGAGUGGAAAGGCCGUCACUCAACGGAUAAAAGUUACUCUAGGAUAACAGGCUGAUCUCCCCCAAGAGUUCACAUCGACGGGGAGGUUUGGCACCUCGAUGUCGGCUCAUCGCAUCCUGGGGCGGUAGUACGUCCCAAGGGUUGGGCUGUUCGCCCAUGAAAGCGGUACGCGAGCUGGGUUCAGAACGUCGUGAGACAGUUCGGUCCAUAUCCGGUGUAGGCGUUAGAAUAUUGAGAGGAGCCUUCUUUAGUACGAGAGGACCGAGAAGGACAUACCUCUGGUGUACCAGUUAUCGUGCCAACGGUAAACGCUGGGUAGCUAUGUAUGGAGUGGAUAACCGCUGAAAGCAUCUAAGUGGGAAGCCCACCUCAAGAUAAGUAUUCUC